rnacentral:rRNA from 1 species
GCUAGCGGCAGGCUUAAUACAUGCAAGUCGUGGGGCAGCAGGGGUAGCAAUACCCGCUGGCGACCGGCAAACGGGUGCGGAACACGUACGCAACCUUCCUUUAACUGGAGAAUAGCCCCUCGAAAGAGGGAUUAAUACUCCGUAACAUAUUGAUAAGGCAUCUUAUUAAUAUUAUAGCUCCGGCGGUUAAAGAUGGGCGUGCGCCUGAUUAGAUAGUUGGCGGGGUAACGGCCCACCAAGUCUGCGAUCAGUAACUGGUGUGAGAGCACGACCAGUCACACGGGCACUGAGACACGGGCCCGACUCCUACGGGAGGCAGCAGUAAGGAAUAUUGGUCAAUGGACGCAAGUCUGAACCAGCCAUGCCGCGUGGAGGAUUAAGGCCCUCUGGGUUGUAAACUCCUUUUAUCUGGGAAGAAAUGCAUUUUUUCUAAAGUGCUUGACGGUACCAGAGGAAUAAGCACCGGCUAACUCCGUGCCAGCAGCCGCGGUAAUACGGAGGCUGCAAGCGUUAUCCGGAUUCACUGGGUUUAAAGGGUGCGUA